GCCCUGGUAGCUCAGUGGUUAAAUGUCUGUCCUGCAAUCACAAGGUUGCGAGUUCAAUACUAGCCAGGGCU
rnacentral:tRNA from 1 species